rnacentral:ribozyme from 1 species
AAAUAAUAAAGAAGAUAAGGUGGACAUACAGAACUAUUUUCAGGAAGAAAUUGCGUAUUCUGAGUAUUAUUAUGGUUAUGAAUUAGAAGAGGA